CUAUUGGGAAGAUAUGGUAAUAUUGAGUUGUUUAGGACGUAAUAUUUUCAUUUAUCUAAUUUAUAAACUUGCUCUUUAUUUUCUUUCCAAUUUUUUUUAAAAGUAAUUUACUUUAAAUUUUUUGGAAAAACGGACGGGCCACACCUUUAUCUAUUCGAUCAGUUCAUAACUGUCAGAAACCACCGGAAAAUUAAAAAGACAAGCUUUGAGUUUUUCAUGUCGAAUUCAGCCGGUGUUCAAGAGCCACCGUAUAAAAAGAGUAAGAUAUCUCCGCCUCCUUCAUCGUGGUCUCCAAGAGUUAUUACUCCAUAACGGCUUCUCCUGAGCUCUACACGGCGAGAUCGUUAUUGGGUUGCACCGAGAAUUGCAUUUAUGUAUGUUUGCUCACUCCUCCCGACCCAACCCCACGAUGGUUCAUCAUCCGCUUCUAAUCCCGAUCUCGUCGUUCCCCGCUCCGCCUCUGGAAGCAUCCUCCGUGGUGGUGCUGGAUGGGGGGAUCUAUGUAAUUGGUGGACGUAUAAAGGGGAAGCUCUUGCUCUUGGAUUGUCGGACUCACACGUGGCGCCAUGUCCCUUCCAUGGGAGUUGCUCGAGCUGCUGCCGCGGCUGAAGUUGUGGGCGGUAAGAUUUACGUGUGCGGAGGCUGCCUGGACCCAGAAUCCUCAAACUGGGCAGAGGUUUUCGACCCAAAGACUCAGACUUGGGAUCCUUUGCCUCCAAUGCCGGAUCCGGAGAUGCGUUUACAAUAAAUCCUUGAUAGUGUGGUCGUGAAGGGGGAAAAGGUUUACGCAGUGGAUGCACGUUAUAGUACUUUCGUUGCAUCGUAUUAAUAAAUUUUGUGUGUGUGUGUGUGUUUUUUGUAUCAUCUUCUUUUCUUCUUCUAUCUGCAUUGCAUCAAUGAAUCCAAAAAAGUUUGGUUCCUGGAUGGGUGAUGAUAGAGAUGGAAAUCCAAAUGUCAUGGCAAAGGUGAGCGUUCGAUAUAUGUUUCUUUUCCCCUGAAUAAUCAUUUUCAUUUAUGGGUGAGAAUGAGGGCUUGAUUUCUACAUUAUUUUAGAUAGGGUUAGCAUUUGGCUGGUAUAUAUAGAUAGAAAGAAAUAUAAGGAUUAACUUGCUAACACACUUAGUUUGUAAAUAAAUAUCAAGUUCACAAAAAGAGUAUCGCUUAUGUUUAGGUGGAUGGCUAUCGAUCUGUAUGUAAGAGAGAUUGACAUCUUAAUAUUUUUAUACAGAUGCGCCAUUGAAUAUCACAAACUUGAAUGAAGGUCCUGUGAACAAUUAUGCGCCACUCUUGAGGAUGUCAGGACAUUUCCAUCAAUGGCUGAGGCCCAAUUUGCAAAUAUUGACAGCAAACAUAACUUCCAUCAACUCUAAUGGUUCUCAGCCAUGUCUUACUCCCAGAGGUUGUUCCUCAACUUCUCCUUUGAAGAUAAACUAUUUGUGGAGUCUUGGAUUGGGAGGAGCAGUUUUCAGAAGCUAUUAGAACCAAUUCCACCUAAAUGACCUAGAAUUGCUCCUUAUCGGAAUGCUCUUGGCAAAGUAAAAAAGUUGUUCUUUUUGGGGUUUGCACCACUUAUAUUUGUUCUUCUCAAAUACUAUCUCAAAUACUAUCUCAUUUCUAGUAAAAAAGUUGUAGCUUAAUGCAUAUGGCCAAUCAAAGGAUGAAAUCAAUGUUCUCCUGCAGUGCCCUUUUGCUGUCCGUUUCUGGGACCUCACUUCAUUUCGGUCCAAGCCCAGAGAAGACGUCCAGACAUCUCUGCAGCUUCUGCUUCAAGUUCAGACCACGGCUAGCCGCAGCUAUGUUAUCUUGGCCUUAGUUGCGAAGACGCUGGCGUGUAAGAGGGCUCCCUUAGCUGGUUUUGUUUCAGUGCUUCAGACACUGAAUGUUUUUUCUUGACCCUCAAGUGCUCGGCUUCCUUAUUAAUUCAAAAGGAGUUACGAUUAAGUAUGUUGUUGAACCUCAGUGAACUAGUUAAUGCCCUCGUGUUCUUUUAUUCCCAUUUUGCUUUAGUCGUUUUUUCAUGUAUUA